rnacentral:rRNA from 1 species
AACGAACGCUGGCGGCAGGCCUAACACAUGCAAGUCGAGCGGACAUCUUCGGAUGUUAGCGGCGGACGGGUGAGUAACGCGUGGGAACGUGCCCUUUGCUUCGGAAUAGCCUCGGGAAACUGGGAGUAAUACCGGAUGUACCCUUUGGGGGAAAGAUUUAUCGGCAAAGGAUCGGCCCGCGUUGGAUUAGGUAGUUGGUGGGGUAAUGGCCUACCAAGCCGACGAUCCAUAGCUGGUUUGAGAGGAUGAUCAGCCACACUGGGACUGAGACACGGCCCAGACUCCUACGGGAGGCAGCAGUGGGGAAUCUUAGACAAUGGGGGAAGCCCUGAUCUAGCCAUGCCGCGUGAGCGAUGAAGGCCUUAGGGUUGUAAAGCUCUUUCACCGGGGAAGAUAAUGACGGUACCCGGAGAAGAAGCCCCGGCUAACUCCGUG